UAUACAAAAUAAAUGUAUGAAACACGAUAUUAUAAUAUUAAGAAAAAUAAUUUAGGGGAAGGGACAUUGCGAGCAAAUGAAAGAGAGGGAGAAAGAGACUAGGGUUUUGCUGGUUUGGUUUUGUGGACCAACAAAUAUGCCCAAUAACCUAAAUUAUAUAUACAUAUGAUUAGAACUAUGCUAGAAUACUAUCAAUAGCACCAAGUUGUUGCUGUUAUUAGGUUUUCGGCCAUUGGAUUAAGAAAUGUCCGGCUAGGAUGAUGUGAGCCCUCUAGGAUUGAGGGAGUUAUUGGUUGAGUAGUAUAAUCUAACGGAUAAAAAUAGUCAAAGGGUUAAAUCUAACAGCGGAAAAUUUGGUAGCACCAAGUGCUUGGUGCUAUCGAUAAUAUCCCAACCGAACUCCAUAUAAUUAAUAUAUAUAUUAUAUAUUAUUAUAUAUAAUUAUAUUUAUAUAUUUAUAAAUAUUUUUAUUUUAUAUAUAUAUAUAUAUAGAGAGAGAGAGAGAGAGAGAGAGAGAGAGUUGAGCUAGAAUACUAUCGAUAGCAAACGGGUUCCGUUGCCACCCAUUUAUUUUCGAUGAUGGAGCCUCCAAAUCGACGAUAGGUACUGUUGAACAUGAUCUAUACCACUUGAAAUGUUUAGAAAUCAAAUUUCAAAUCACUACAACAAAAACAGUCUAUAGCGACACUUUCAAAUAUCGGUACAGGUCAAAAAAAAUAAUGCUGACUAAAUUACCGACACUUUUAAAAAAUGUUGCUAUAUGUGGGGUCACUAGAUAUAUAGUGACAGUUAAAGAGUGUCGCUAUAACCUAAAAAGAGUGCUGCUAAUUUACCAACACUUAUUUAAGUAUUUAGCAACCACCGGAAUUCUACCUCGUUGGCUGUGGUGGUAGAGGAAGAGGAGAGUGAAGGGCUCUUCGUCUAGAAUUUAAGUGGAUUGAGUGAGGGAGAAGGGGAGAUGGUAAUCGAUUUUUCUUUUUUUUUUUCUUUUCUAUUUGUAAUCGGGCAGAAUGGGCUGGGUGGGGUAGUUAAGUAGAGUAAUCUUUUAUUUUUGAUUGGAUUGAAUUUUAUAUUUAGGCAUUAGUAGAUUUUUUUUAAGCUUUGGUAUAAAUGAGACACUUACAUAAAAGUGUCCCAAACAUGUCUCCCUAUAACCCAAUUCUGUUGUAGUGAAUCUUUUCGACAUCAUUUGCCUAAUGAUCAAAGGAUUUCAAAAUUUGUAAUUUUAAUGAUCGAUAAGAGGCGUUUUCUCGUUUAACGGCGUAAAGAUAUUCAAAUCAAUUGAAUUUUUAUUAGAAAAUUCUUUAAACUAUUUAAAAUAAGAUCCAUACUCUUG
rnacentral:lncRNA from 1 species